rnacentral:rRNA from 1 species
GCAUAAUCCCCUGCCUUUUAAUUGAAGGCCAGUAUGAAUGGACAAACGAAAAUAAAGCUGUUUCUAUAUACCCCAUAAAAUUUUAUCUUUAGGUGAAAAAGCCUAAAUUAGCUUAAAAGACAAAAAGACCCCGUAGAGCCUAAUUUAAUAUGGCCCCCAAAACAACCCCGUUACACCCUGCCACUAAAAUCCAGAUGGGGCAUCUAAGGACCCGCAAAAUCGUCCUUUAUACAAUAAAAUACACAUAUUUUGAGCCAUUACAAUGACAAUAGAACACGGCUACCUCGGGGAUAACAGACUAAUCUUCCUUGAGAGCCCAAAUUGACAGGAAGGCUUGGCACCUCGAUGUUGGCUUAGGACCCCUGGGAGUGCAGCCGCCCCCAAUGGCAGGUUUGUUCAACCUUUAAAAUCCU